rnacentral:rRNA from 1 species
ACUCAAAGGAAUUGACGGGGGCCCGCACAAGCGGUGGAACAUGUGGUUCAAUUCGAUGCUACGCGAAGAACCUCACCAGGGCUUGACAUACAGGAAGUAGUGAACCGAAAGGGGAACGAGUCGUCAAGUCCGUCAGCCUGUACAGGUGCUGCAUGGCUGUCGUCAGCUCGUGUCGUGAGAUGUUGGGUUAAGUCCCGCAACGAGCGCAACCAUUACCCGAUGUUGCGACCAUGUUUUGUCGAAAGACAAGGCGUGAGCACUCUUCGGGGACUGCCUGGGAUAACCAGGAGGAAGGUGGAGAUGACGUCAAGUCAGUACGGCCCUUAUGCCCUGGGCUACACACGUGUUACAAUGGAUGAUACAAAGGGUUGCCAACCCGCGAGGGGGAGCUAAUCUCUAAAAAUCAUCCUCAGUUCAGAUCGGAGUCUGCAAUUCGACUCCGUGAAGCCGGAAUCGCUAGUAAUGGAAGAUCAGCACGCUUCCAUGAAUACGUUCCCGGGCCUUGUACACACCGCCCGU